rnacentral:rRNA from 1 species
CCUACGGGAGGCAGCAGUGAGGAAUAUUGGUCAAUGGACGAGAGUCUGAACCAGCCAAGUAGCGUGAAGGAUGACUGCCCUAUGGGUUGUAAACUUCUUUUAUAUGGGAAUAAAAUGUUCCACGUGUGGGAUUUUGUAUGUACCAUAUGAAUAAGGAUCGGCUAACUCCGUGCCAGCAGCCGCGGUAAUACGGAGGAUCCGAGCGUUAUCCGGAUUUAUUGGGUUUAAAGGGAGCGUAGGUGGAUUGUUAAGUCAGUUGUGAAAGUUUGCGGCUCAACUGUAAAAUUGCAGUUGAAACUGGCAGUCUUGAGUACAGGAGAGGUGGGCGGAAUUCGUGGUGUAGCGGUGAAAUGCUUAGAUAUCACGAAGAACUCCGAUUGCGAAGGCAGUUCACUGGACUGCAACUGACACUGAGGCUCGAAAGUGUGGGUAUCAAACAGGAUUAGAUACCCUUGUAGUC